rnacentral:rRNA from 1 species
CGAGUUGAUUCUCUUCGGAGAUGAAGCUAGCGGCGGACGGGUGAGUAACACGUGGGCAACCUGCCUCAUAGAGGGGAAUAGCCUCCCGAAAGGGAGAUUAAUACCGCAUAAGAUUGUAGCUUCGCAUGAAGUAGCAAUUAAAGGAGCAAUCCGCUAUGAGAUGGGCCCGCGGCGCAUUAGCUAGUUGGUGAGGUAACGGCUCACCAAGGCGACGAUGCGUAGCCGACCUGAGAGGGUGAUCGGCCACACUGGGACUGAGACACGGCCCAGACUCCUACGGGAGGCAGCAGUAGGGAAUCUUCGGCAAUGGGGGCAACCCUGACCGAGCAACGCCGCGUGAGUGAAGAAGGUUUUCGGAUCGUAAAGCUCUGUUGUAAGUCAAGAACGAGUGUGAGAGUGGAAAGUUCACACUGUGACGGUAGCUUACCAGAAAGGGACGGCUAACUACGUGCCAGCAGCCGCGGUAAUACGUAGGUCCCGAGCGUUGUCCGGAUUUAUUGGGCGUAAAGCGAGCGCAGGCGGUUUGAUAAGUCUGAAGUUAAAGGCUGUGGCUCAACCAUAGUUCGCUUUGGAAACUGUCAAACUUGAGUGCAGAAGGGGAGAGUGGAAUUCCAUGUGUAGCGGUGAAAUGCGUAGAUAUAUGGAGGAACACCGGUGGCGAAAGCGGCUCUCUGGUCUGUAACUGACGCUGAGGCUCGAAAGCGUGGGGAGCGAACAGGAUUAGAUACCCUGGUAGUCCACGCC